UGAAAAGUGAUGAAAUUUUUUGAUAGGGACAUCUGAAAAUCUAUGAAAGAUUUAUCAUUUUUAAAAUAUACUGAUCUA